GGGUUGUGAGGUUAAGCGACUAAGCGUACACGGUGGAUGCCCUGGCAGUCAGAGGCGAUGAAGGACGUGCUAAUCUGCGAUAAGCGUCGGUAAGGUGAUAUGAACCGUUAUAACCGGCGAUUUCCGAAUGGGGAAACCCAGUGUGUUUCGACACACUAUCAUUAACUGAAUCCAUAGGUUAAUGAGGCGAACCGGGGGAACUGAAACAUCUAAGUACCCCGAGGAAAAGAAAUCAACCGAGAUUCCCCCAGUAGCGGCGAGCGAACGGGGAGGAGCCCAGAGCCUGAAUCAGUGUGUGUGUUAGUGGAAGCGUCUGGAAAGGCGCGCGAUACAGGGUGACAGCCCCGUACACAAAAAUGCACAUAUUGUGAGCUCGAUGAGUAGGGCGGGACACGUGGUAUCCUGUCUGAAUAUGGGGGGACCAUCCUCCAAGGCUAAAUACUCCUGACUGACCGAUAGUGAACCAGUACCGUGAGGGAAAGGCGAAAAGAACCCCGGCGAGGGGAGUGAAAAAGAACCUGAAACCGUGUACGUACAAGCAGUGGGAGCCUCUUUUAUGGGGUGACUGCGUACCUUUUGUAUAAUGGGUCAGCGACUUAUAUUCUGUAGCAAGGUUAACCGAAUAGGGGAGCCGAAGGGAAACCGAGUCUUAACUGGGCGUUAAGUUGCAGGGUAUAGACCCGAAACCCGGUGAUCUAGCCAUGGGCAGGUUGAAGGUUGGGUAACACUAACUGGAGGACCGAACCGACUAAUGUUGAAAAAUUAGCGGAUGACUUGUGGCUGGGGGUGAAAGGCCAAUCAAACCGGGAGAUAGCUGGUUCUCCCCGAAAGCUAUUUAGGUAGCGCCUCGUGAAUUCAU
rnacentral:rRNA from 1 species